rnacentral:sRNA from 2 species
UCCAACGAAUCGCCGAAGCGUCAGUUGGAGCGGAGGAACCAACGUAUGGGGCGUAUCUCAUAGAAGAAGAAAAAAAGUGAAGAACAAAUAAGAACAAAUAAUAAUUGUAUCUUUAUUCGUUCUUGUUUCUUGCUUCUUCUAAGAGAGGGGCAUCUCUCAGCCCUAGCCCGUCAGCUAACUUCGUAGGCAAUGAGAGGAGACUGA